GAACGAACGCUGGCGGCAAGCCUAACACAUGCAAGUCGAACGGACAAUUGUUUAUAUCUUUGGUAUAAAUAAUUGUUAGUGGCAGACGGGUGAGUAAUGCGUAGGAAUCUACCUAGUAGUAUGGAAUAGCCAUUAGAAAUGAUGGGUAAUACUGUAUAAUCCCUGCGGGGGAAAGAUUUAUCGCUAUUAGAUGAGCCUACGUUAGAUUAGCUAGUUGGUAAGGUAAUGGCUUACCAAGGCUAUGAUCUAUAGCUGGUCUGAGAGGACGAUCAGCCACACUGGAACUGAGAUACGGUCCAGACUCCUACGGGAGGCAGCAGUGGGGAAUAUUGGACAAUGGGCGAAAGCCUGAUCCAGCUAUGCCGCGUGAGUGAAGAAGGCCUUCGGGUUGUAAAGCUCUUUCAAUAGGGAAGAUAAUGACGGUACCUAUAGAAGAAGUCCCGGCAAACUCCGUGCCAGCAGCCGCGGUAAUACG
rnacentral:rRNA from 1 species